CUGGGAAGAAAAGGGCAGGAGACCAAUCAAAAUAUGCUACCAACAAGGCCCCAGGGAAAGUAACUUUGGCUCAAGCCAUCAGGGACAAAGUAGCCGAUUAUUUAUGCCACUGACCCACUCAGUUGUGGAUAAAGGGCUACCCCCCAAGUUUCCAGGAUACUUGCCGAGAAAGAUCUGCAUAAGGAAGUGUGCUUUCACUGUCUCCUCCACCAAAGGGAAUUGUAAUUAAGAGCAGAUUGAAGUAUUAGAGUGAAAACCAAUCCAGACACUGCUCAUGUCUGCCAAAUGGAUGGUGAGACAGGAGGUCAGACUGAAUUAAUUUGCACAGUUUCCCAUCUGGCGUCUGAUUCAUUUUGUGAGGCUGCUGGAAACAGAGGAGGUCUACAGACGACUGCUACUAAAACAUGACCAGGCACAUCAACAUCCACAGGAAAUUCGAGUCUCCUGGGGUGGUGGCUUCACAUGGAAUACAACAGAAGUCAGAACAAAGACAAAUCACUCUGCAUUGGGCUUUCCAGCUGAGCAGAUCCAGAAAGAGACAAUGUCAGAAGAAAGAUUUGUGAUCCCGCAUUUUUCCAUGAGAGCAAGUGAAAAGGAAGGG
rnacentral:lncRNA from 1 species